rnacentral:lncRNA from 1 species
GUUAGUACUCUUAUCAUAUCUGAUUUAGUGAUGUAUGAGUUGUUAAUGUCUGUGUCAUUUUGGUCUUUUGUGGAUAGUUGUCUCAUUGGCAAUCAUACCACAUCUUCUUUUUUAUAUAUCAACAUAUUGCACUACAAUAAUAAAAGAAAAUCUGCUCUAUGGUUGUCUGAUCUUGAAGCGGUUGGCAGGCUUUCAAACUAACAGGAGACCAUACGCUUCCUCAAUUUUAAUGAACAGCUCAUCAUGGGACUUUUCUAAACAAUUAAAAAU